GCCCGGGUGGCUCAGUGGUUGAGCAUCUGCCUUCUGCUCAGGUCAUGAUCCCAGGGUCCUGGGAUCGAGUCCCACAUCGGGUU
rnacentral:tRNA from 1 species